GAUGAACGCUAGCGGCAGGCUUAACACAUGCAAGUCGAGGGGCAGCACGGGUAGCAAUACCUGGUGGCGACCGGCGCAAGGGUGCGUAACGCGUGAGCAACAUGCCCUAUACAGGGGGAUAAUCCAGGGAAACUUGGUCUAAUAUCCCAUAGUAUUUAGAGGAGGCAUCUUCUAUAAAUUAAAGCUUCGGUGGUAUAGGAUUGGCUCGCGUGACAUUAGCUAGAUGGUGAGGUAACGGCUCACCAUGGCAAUGAUGUCUAGGGGUUCUGAGAGGAAGGCCCCCCACACUGGGACUGAGACACGGCCCAGACUCCUACGGGAGGCAGCAGUGAGGAAUAUUGGACAAUGGAUGGAAAUCUGAUCCAGCCAUGCCGCGUGCAGGAAGACAGCCCUAUGGGUUGUAAACUGCUUUUAUAUGGGAGCAAUAAGGUCUACGUGUAGACUGAUGAGAGUACCAUAAUGAAUAAGC
rnacentral:rRNA from 1 species